CGGUAACGUAAAGUUACCAAGUUAUGUUAAUUUAAUACUGCAGUGAGAGAACAUGAAUAAUACUGCGUCGUAUUAAACCAUUUAGCUAGCGGGUAAUGAGCUAAAACUUUCACUUUCAACUUUCGGUGUAUUUUUAUUACUACGCCGGUAAAUAUAUUUUGCAAACUCGAUAAUAAAGUUAACGCGCACUCACACCGCAACAUACAAAAGAAGCACGAGGACUUCGCUCUCCAGAAAAUUUGUUUCUGCUUUGAAUUCUUUUCCAGCUAAAAAGUUGGUUCUUAAAGUAAAUUUAAAGUCAUUGCAAAGUUUGCUGCUAAACAGAUCGAGCUAGACGGGGAUUCAUCAGUAACUAGAGAUCAGAAGUCAUUUGCCGAAGCCGUUGUUGAGAUUUUGCCAAUUUGGACGUCUCCUGGGACUGCUGACGGAAUUGUAAAUUUUACAUUUAUUACAUAAUUAAUGAACUUUUAACUAAUAACUAUUUUGUAUA